UAUUUGUCAAUGGGCGCGAGCCUGAACCAGCCAAGUAGCGUGAAGGAUGACGGCCCUAUGGGUUGUAAACUUCUUUUAUAUGGGAAUAAAGUUUGGUAUGUAUACCAUUUUGUAUGUACCAUAUGAAUAAGGAUCGGCUAACUCCGUGCCAGCAGCCGCGGUAAUACGGAGGAUCCGAGCGUUAUCCGGAUUUAUUGGGUUUAAAGGGUGCGUAGGCUGUGCGGUAAGUCAGCGGUGAAAUGCCCCCGCGCAACGGGGUGAAGUGCCAUUGAUACUGCCUUGCUGGAAUGCGGAUGCCGUGGGAGGAAUGUGUGGUGUAGCGGUGAAAUGCAUAGAUAUCACACAGAACACCGAUUGCGAAGGCAGCUCACUGGACUGCAACUGACACUGAUGCUCGAAAGUGUGGGUAUCAAAC
rnacentral:rRNA from 1 species